AACACGUGGGGAACCUGCCCCAUAGUCUGGGAUACCACUUGGAAACAGGUGCUAAUACCGGAUAAGAAAGCGGAUCGCAUGAUCAGCUUUUAAAAGGCGGUGUAAGCUGUCGCUAUGGGAUGGCCCCGCGGUGCAUUAGCUAGUUGGUAAGGUAAAGGCUUACCAAGGCGAUGAUGCAUAGCCGAGUUGAGAGACUGAUCGGCCACAUUGGGACUGAGACACGGCCCAAACUCCUACGGGAGGCAGCAGAC
rnacentral:rRNA from 1 species